GACGAACGCUGGCGGCGUGCUUAACACAUGCAAGUCGAACGGAAAGGCCCUGCUUUUGUGGGGUGCUCGAGUGGCGAACGGGUGAGUAACACGUGAGUAACCUGCCCUUGGCUUUGGGAUAACUUCAGGAAACUGGGGCUAAUACCGGAUAGGAGCUCCUGCUGCAUGGUGGGGGUUGGAAAGUUUCGGCGGUUGGGGAUGGACUCGCGGCUUAUCAGCUUGUUGGUGGGGUAGUGGCUUACCAAGGCUUUGACGGGUAGCCGGCCUGAGAGGGUGACCGGCCACAUUGGGACUGAGAUACGGCCCAGACUCCUACGGGAGGCAGCAGUGGGGAAUAUUGCACAAUGGGCGGAAGCCUGAUGCAGCAACGCCGCGUGCGGGGUGACGGCCUUCGGGUUGUAAACCGCUUUCGCCUGUGACGAAGCGUGAGUGACGGUAAUGGGUAAAGAAGCACCGGCUAACUACGUG
rnacentral:rRNA from 1 species